CCUACGGGUGGCUGCAGUGGGGAAUAUUGGACAAUGGGCGGAAGCCUGAUCCAGCAAUACCGCGUGUGUGAAGAAGGCCUGCGGGUUGUAAAGCACUUUUGAUGGGAAAGAAAUCUUUUAGGUUAAUACCCUAAAAGGAUGACGUUACCCAUAGAAUAAGCACCGGCUAACUCUGUGCCAGCAGCCGCGGUAAUACAGAGGGUGCAAGCGUUAAUCGAAGUUAUUGGGCGUAAAGGGUGCGUAGGUGGAUUUGUAAGUUAAUUGUGAAAUCCCUGGGCUUAACCUAGGAACUGCAAUUAAUACUGCUAAUCUAGAGUACGAUAGAGGAAAAUAGAAUUCCAGGUGUAGCGGUGAAAUGCGUAGAUAUCGGGAGGAACACCAGUGGCGAAGGCGACUUUCUGGACUGUUACUGACACUGAGGCACGAAAGCGUGGGGAGCAAACAGGAUUAGAUACCCUUGUAGUC
rnacentral:rRNA from 1 species